UUCCUACGGGUGGCAGCAGUCGAGAAUAAUUCACAAUGGACGAAAGUCUGAUGGUGCAACGCCGCGUGGAGGAUGAAGGUCUUCGGAUUGUAAACUCCUGUCAUCGGGGAGUAAGACCUGGGCGUGAAUAGCGCACAGGGUUGAUAGUACCCGAAGAGGAAGGGACGGCUAACUUCGUGCCAGCAGCCGCGGUAAUACGAAGGUCCCAAGCGUUGUUCGGAAUCACUGGGCGUAAAGGGAGCGUAGGCGGGGUAGUAAGUCAGACGUGAAAUCCCGGGGCUCAACCCCGGAACUGCAUCCGAUACUGCCAUGCUUGAGGGUUGGAGAGGUAGCUGGAAUUCUCGGUGUAGCAGUGAAAUGCGUGGAUAUCGAGAGGAACACUCGUGGCGAAGGCGAGCUACUGGACAACAUCUGACGCUGAGGCUCGAAGGCUAGGGGAGCAAAAGGGAUUAGAUACCCGUGUAGUCG
rnacentral:rRNA from 1 species